rnacentral:rRNA from 1 species
GACGUAGGGCGCAAGCGUUGUCCGGAUUUAUUGGGCGUAAAGAGCUCGUAGGCGCCUGUCGCGUCGACCGUGAAAACCCGCAGCUCAACUGCGGGCUUGCGGUCGAUACGGGCAGGCUGGAGUUCGGUAGGGGAGACUGGAAUUCCUGGUGUAGCGGUGAAAUGCGCAGAUAUCAGGAGGAACGACCGGUGGCGAAGGCGGGCCUGUCUGGGCAGUUUUGCUGACACUGGAGGCGCGACGAGCAGUGGGGGAGCAAACAGG